UACGAAGGGAGCUAGCGUUGUUCGGAAUCACUGGGCGUAAAGCGCACGUAGGCGGAUGUGUCAGUCAGGGGUGAAAUCCCGGAGCUCAACUUCGGAACUGCCUCUGAUACAGCACGUCUUGAGUCCGAUAGAGGUGGGUGGAAUUCCUAGUGUAGAGGUGAAAUUCGUAGAUAUUAGGAAGAACACCGGUGGCGAAGGCGGCCCACUGGAUCGGUACUGACGCUGAGGCGCGAAAGCGUGGGGAGCAAACGGG
rnacentral:rRNA from 1 species